GUGUCAGCCGCCGCGGUAAAACGUAGGUCCCGAGCGUUAUCCGGAUUUACUGGGCGUAAAGGGCGUUCAGGCGGUGGGCUAAGUCAGGCAUGAAAUCUCUCGGCUCAACCGGGAGAGGCUGUCUGAGACUGGCGCACUUGAGGGCAGUCGAGGGUGGUGGAAUUCCGGGUGUAGUGGUGAAAUGCGUAGAGAUCCGGAGGAACACCAGUGGCGAAAGCGGCCACCUGGGCUGUACCUGACGCUGACACGCGAAAGCUAGGGGAGCGAACGGGAUUAGAAACCCUUGUAGUCC
rnacentral:rRNA from 1 species